rnacentral:tRNA from 1 species
UGGGUUUGUAGUUAAAUAAUAAUAAGGGUUUUGUAAACUUUAGUUGAAUUUAUUAAAUUCUUUAUCCAG